rnacentral:rRNA from 1 species
UACGUAGGGGGCAAGCGUUGUCCGGAUUCAUUGGGCGUAAAGAGCGUGUAGGCGGCCAGGUAGGUCGGUUGUGAAAACUGGAGGCUCAACCUUCAGAGGUCGACCGAAACCAUCUGGCUAGAGUCCGGGAGAGGAGAGUGGAAUUCCUGGUGUAGCGGUGAAAUGCGCAGAUAUCAGGAAGAACACCCCGUGGCGAAGGCGGUUCUCUGGGCCGAUAUUGACGCUGAGGAGCGAAAGCGUGGGGAGCGAACAGG